GUAAGAAGUCUUGUCCUUGAGUUGGAUUUCUCCUUAUCAUUUUAAAUGCAUGGUCCCAGGAGCUAACUCUAAAACAAGAAUUGUCUUCAAGAUAAACCAGGGAAACCAUGGAAACUGAUAUGAAGCAGGGAAGGAGAAGAAUAUACAAGACCUCGAAUCAGUGAUGUCAUCACAAGGAGAUAGAAGAUGUUGGUUGAUAUAAGUGAAAAUUAGUGAUGCUGAUGAAGAUGAUUGAGUUGAUGGUGCUGGAGUAGCUCAUGGUAAUAACUACGAUAUGAGAUGUG